AGAAAAAAAAAAAAAAAAAACGAAAACAAGUGAGAUUAUCAUAAGCAAGUUUACAUACAGAUCACUUUUUAAACUGUGUCCUCUCCAAAAAAAAGUGUAGACAUCAUAAUUAUAAACCGUGUUUAUUAACGCAGUGCUAAGCAAUGCGUAGGGCUUAAAAUUUAAUUAAUUACUCGGUAACGGACAGUUACCUUUAGAUCCAAGACCAAGUUAUGCCAAUUUUAAGCAUUUGUCGCAGGAAUUUAUUUUUAGUCUUGAACGUGAAACAAUUUUGCGAUUUGUUGAAAUUUUUUACUAGCAAAUUUUCAUAAUUACAGCGAUGAGUUAACGCAAAUUGAUUAUCACACGAUCAUUCAUUAUGGGCAAUGUAUGUAUGAUUGUUCGUAAAAAAAUUUUUAAUCUCGAGAAACUUUUAAAAUGUUUCUUCGUUCGCGAUGAGUGAGCCCCAGUCGAUGAAACGAAUCGUUGUCGUAUACGCCUGCAGACAAGGUCUUCCGAAAAAGUGAGUUUUAUUCCGCGUUAUUUCUUUCCCUCUCAACAAAGGCAUAAAUGCGACCAACAGUAUUGCUUGCGAAAAUCUUCAGCUUCGGGAGGCUUUAUGGCAUCUCGUGACAUCUCGAAGAUCAUAACAUCAUAAUCCAGGGAAAAAACUAACUGUAAGCAAAAGUUCCUUGUUUGAUGGCCGUACAAAUGAUCUGAUGCGAGGAAAUUUUCCCAAAUGAAUUUUUACCUGCAAAUAUGUACAUAAAUGUAACGAGCUUCCAUGAUUGAAGCGACAGAGACUUGAAUCGUUUAAGUACAGUUUGGAGUUCGGAGGAAUGCGAGGAACACCACCCAUAAGUAACUGCUUCAGCCAAACAUUACAAUAGAUCCGCAACUGUAUUGCCGUAAAGCAAGGCAGACUUAGGAGGCAGAGUGCCUCCGUGCUUACAUCGUUAAUGAUCUUUCAGGCAUUGGGAUAACUUAUCCAAAAACUAUUGCUCCUUUCAACGUAAAAAUAGAACUUGACAUCGUCGUCGUACUAUUUUCUUCGAUUUUUCAAAAAUUUCCUGAAAAUUUCCAUCCAAUGAAUAUAAAAAGAAUUUUUUUGAAGCUAUACCAGCUAGAAUUUCUGAAACAGCAACUGUACAAGGAGUUUUGGAGGGGGUCAGGAAAAUCAUCCAAAGUUAUCGAACAAUAACGUGCGCAGUUUUAAUGACAACACAUAUACCUUCAACACAUUUAGUAUUUUUCAGACAAUCUAUUAUGUAAUCAGGUAAAAAUCGCCGUUGCGUUGGAAAUACUUAAACACUAUUUCAUAAAUUGUGGGCGUGUUAUUUGAUGGCAGACAGACCGACAACACUAAUGAGCAUGGAACACGAUCGAACGGAUAGAUGCCUCGACGACAGACCAACGAAAAAGACGAAUCGACCUUACCAGUGAUGUACUUGAAUGAAGAAGUCUUUGACUGCGCGCUUCUAGGUGCUUAAACUGAAAGAACGAAUGCAUGACCUUACAUAAAAUUGAAUGGUAAAUCUUAACAUAAACAGGAGAUUUGAAUGGCUUGUCUUGUGCAAGGUGGAUUUGCCGAGAUGAGAAGAAAACAUUGACUGAAUUGCCCCAAUAUGCAAUGGAUACAUCCUUGACGGCGCUGGACGACGCAAAUGAAAUUGAACUUUACUUCCAGUACACCAUUGACCUUAAAUUAGCUCUAAUUCACACAUGCUCCUCACCAAUAUAAUGCUAGGCUUUUGACAUUUAACACUGUAUAGUCCAACUCCUGCCAAUUAUUAAUACUUUCUGAUUUUCAUCCUUGAAAAGGCGAAAAUAAUUUUUUUUGCUGAAAUUCUAAUAGAUUUUUAUUAUUCAUUUAUUGUUUGAGUUUCUACCUGUUACAAAACAAAUAUCUAUCUAUAUCGAUUGUCCUUCGCAUAUACUUGUUAUGUCUGCCAUACAUACAUAAUAAUAGUAAUUAUUGGUCUACCCAUUCGCUAAUACUCAUAAAUAGAAAAACCGCACAUAAACUCGUGAAAAUAUUUUCAUUGAAAGAAUGUAGAAAGAAAGAAAAAAAGAAAAAACAUUGAAUCGCCGCUUACGAAAAUAAUAAAAUAUCUUUUGUUUUUAUGACCGCAUAGCGCGCGUGCAUAAACUAAUGCAAUAUUGCAUCUCAAAACGGCCACAAUGAUUACUGUAAUUUUAGCAGAGCAGGCAGAGCAGG